UACGAAGGGGGCUAGCGUUGCUCGGAAUUACUGGGCGUAAAGCGCACGUAGGCGGUCAGGCAAGUCGGGUGUGAAAGCCCUGGGCUCAACCUGGGAAUUGCAUUCGAAACUAUCUGACUCGAGUAUGGGAGAGGGAAGCGGAAUUUCCGGUGUAGCGGUGAAAUGCGUAGAUAUCGGAAGGAACACCAGUGGCGAAGGCGGCUUCCUGGACUAAUACUGACGCUGAGGUGCGAAAGCGUGGGGAGCAAACAGG
rnacentral:rRNA from 1 species